AAAGAAACGGAGAAGACCAUGAACACCAGCAGUAUCAUGGCCAACGACGAUCUAGACAAACCCAUUUUGCUUCCUCUUUCUGCUGGAAAAUAUCA